GCUUGUGUGCUAAGACAAUGGUUAAAGGCAUACACUCUUCAGUUUCAUCAGUGCCAUAACCAAACAUCAAACCCUGGUCUCCUGCACCAAUGUCUUCCUCAUUCCGGUCAAGAUGAACACCUUGGGCAAUAUCUGGUGACUGUUGUUCCAAGGCAACCAACACAUUAUAAGUCUUGUAGUCAAACCCUUUGGAAGAGUCAUCAUAUCCAAUGUGCUUUAUGGCUUCACGAACCACUUUCUGGUAAUCAAUGGCAUCUCUGGCAUUAAUAAUAAUAAUCCCCAGCAAGAAGGAUUAUUCCAGUUUUAGCAACAGUUUCACAAGCCACUUUAGCAUCAGGCUCUUGUUGAAGCUGUGCAUCAAGGACAGCAUCACUGAUUUGGUAACAAAUCUUAUCUGGGUGACCUUCCCCUACAGAUUCCAAAGUGAAGAGGAACGUGCCCUCCUCGAUGAACGCCUGUGGAAGCCUUUGAGCAGCCCUUUCAUGGCGGAAGAGAGGGCAACUCUGAGGUGAUGGAGCAGCGGCUAGGCAGAGGGCUGCUGAGGAAGCAGAGGGAGGAUCGCUUCAGCUCUCGGCAGGCUGGAGCCUCAGAGCAAACCUCAAGUAACUUUCUGUGGAUGCUGUGAGGCUUCAUACCUUGCAAUCUUGGAUCUGGGACUAGGAAUUUACAUUCUGUAACUCCUGGGGAGGGCUGCUGGAGAGAUGACUGAGCAGUUAAGAGCACUUGUUGCUCUUGGCAGACGACCUGGCUUCUAGUCCUAGCACCACAUGGAGGCUGACCGCCAUCUGUAACUCUUCUUCUGACUAUGAAGAUACUGUGCAUACAUUGGCAUAUACACAAUCACAGGCAA
rnacentral:lncRNA from 1 species